AGUUUCUGGUGAUCGCGGUUUGCUUUAUGCAGACUGAGGAAAGUCCAAGCUUGCACAAGCUGAGAUGCUUGUAGUGAUCGUGCUCGCUGAAAAAAUAAGGCGAGGUACCUUUUAGGUAACGGCAAAUAAAAAGGCUAAGGCUUCGGCUAUGCCUGAGUAGUUUUGAAAAGUGCCACAGUGACGAAGCAGUAAUGGAAACAUUGCUGAUGGAACGCGGUAAACCCCACGAGCAGGUAACCCAAAUUAUGGUAGGGGCGCUUCAUGCCGGAAAUGAACUAAGCAUGGGGGCAGACAUUUGUCUGGAGAUAGAUGAUUACCACCGAUUCUGGUUCCUGGAUCAGAUGACGUACGGAACGUGGCUUAUAGAG
rnacentral:RNase_P_RNA from 2 species